GACGAACGCUGGCGGCGUGCUUAACACAUGCAAGUCGAGCGGUAAGGCCCUUUCGGGGGUACACGAGCGGCGAACGGGUGAGUAACACGUGGGUGACCUGCCCUCAGCUCUGGGAUAAGCCUGGGGAAACUGGGUCUAAUACUGGAUAUGACUCCACGGUGCAUGUCGGUGGGGUGGAAAGCCUUGUGCGGCUGAGGAUGGGCCCGC
rnacentral:rRNA from 1 species